GCCAGCAGCCCGGCUCUGGUCAGCCCCGGCCCCAAACCCAUCAUGGCCCCAGUGCCCAGCGAAGUGGGGAGAGCGAGCCCGGGAGCAGAGAAGCCAGGAUGCUCAGGGGGAGAGAGGGAAGGGCCAGAGUUCCUACCAGGACUACAGGAGGAAAAUAAGAGGACCAAAUGCCCUGUACCUCGCCCUGCGCUGUCUUACCUGCAUCUACGGGGAUGGGAUGGGAGAGGUCCCCAACCCAGUGACACAGACUUCACAGAAAGCAUUAUGAAUGGGGAGGGGAGAGAAGUGGAUUUCCAGGCCUCACUGGGGGCAGAGCCUUCUAGAACUAAUCAGCAAACCCCAAGCUCCUGAAAGGGUUAAGGGCGCCCAACCCCACGCACGACAGUGUUAACCUGGAUUUUACUUGUACAGGAUCUUCUUGUUUAUCCAUACAUUUGAAUCCCAUCAACAUCAUUUUUAUACACUUUGGCAAAUUUUAAAAUAAACUUCACCUGUA